GGAUCUGAGGGAAAUAUGGCUGCCUCAUAUGUCACCCUUUUGGUCACCACUGCUGAUUCAACUGAUCUGACUAGCUAGACAGAUGUCCCAUCCUCCUUCACUGCUCCAUGUGCAUCCCUCCCUCAUCUAUGUAUUCAGACAAAAAGCACAAUCUUCUUCCACCUUCACGGAGAGAGUAGGACCAUUCUUUGGUCAGGGGUAUACAAAUAGCUGGCCUCCAAUGCUAGAAGCCUCCAAACAAGACCUCAAAGUCCUAAGCUUAGCAGAGGGCCCUGGCUAUAAUCAGGGAACCU
rnacentral:snRNA from 1 species